rnacentral:rRNA from 1 species
UUAAAGAGUUCUAUAACUCCCAAACCCAUGUGAACAUACCUAACGUUGCCUCGGCAGGUCGCACCUACCUUGUAGCACCCUACCCUGUAGGGCCUACCCGGGAGGUGCGGGUAAGCCUGCCGGCGGCCCACCAAACUCUGUUUGAUAUUGAAUUCUGAACCUAUAACUAAAUAAGUUAAAACUUUCAACAACGGAUCUCUUGGUUCUGGCAUCGAUGAAGAACGCAGCGAAAUGCGAUAAGUAAUGUGAAUUGCAGAAUUCAGUGAAUCAUCGAAUCUUUGAACGCAUAUUGCGCCCAUUAGUAUUCUAGUGGGCAGGACCGUUCGAGCGUCAUUUCAACCCUUAAGCCUUCGUUGCUUAGUGUUGGGAGCCUACGGCAACGUAGCUCCUCAAAGUUAGUGGCGGAGUUGGUUCACACUCUAGACGUAGUAAUUUUUUAUCUCGCCUAUUAGUUGGACUAAUCCCCUGCCGUAAAACCCCCAAUUUAUCAAGGUUGACCUCGAAUCGGUUCAGACAAACUCGCUAAAUUGAAGCAUCUUAGUCAGCGAAGGAAAAGAAACCAACAGGGAUUGCCCUAGUAACGGCGAGUGAAGCGGCAACAGCUCAAAUUUGAAAUCUGGCCCUCGGGUCCGAGUUGUAAUUUGUAGAGGAUGCUUUUGGCGCGGUGCCUUCCGAGUUCCCUGGAACGGGACGCCUUAGAGGGUGAGAGCCCCGUACGGUUGGACACCAAGCCUCUGUAAAGCUCCUUCGACGAGUCGAGUAGCUUGGGAAUGCUGCUCUAAAUGGGAGGUAAAUUUCUUCUAAAGCUAAAUAUUGGCCAGAGACCGAUAGCGCACAAGUAGAGUGAUCGAAAGAUGAAAAGCACUUU